rnacentral:lncRNA from 1 species
AAGUGAUAAUAAUUAAAAUCUCCAUAAUGAUGAGAAUCAAAUGAGUUGAUAAAAAUAUAUUUUGAAGGAAACAGGCAAACCUCCAUUAUAUAUAAUAGCCAGAUACAAAGUAUAAUUGGUACCACAAUAUUGAUUUUGAGAAAUUCUUAUAAAAAAACAAAAAACGUCUUUGGCUGAGAGUAAUUAUUAGAGUCGCAAUUUGUCGCAGAGAUAACUGGUGGCGUGCGCUAGUGGAGGCGUUGAAGUUCGAUCGCGAGGGAGGAUUGCUCCAAGGACGUUGUGUACGAGACAUCGCUGCUGGAAAUUAUUGCUAUUGAUUAUUUGGUGGUUGCUGCAAGUCGAUCACCGAUGGUCAGAGUAGAGCUUUCAUCAUUGACGCUGCAAAUAGCGAGUAACAUUCUCACCAAAGAUGCAAAUCGCAAGCAACAUUCUCAUCAACGACGCAAAUUGCAAGCAGAAGACCCAUGGAAAGUUCGUCCAUUACUCAGCCAAGGAAAGAUGGGUGCUAGAAGAGAAGAUGAUAGAAGAUAAGGAAAUAAAAGAGACGAAUAGAAAGAGAAAAAGGGAAAAGAUAUGAUUUUGGUUAAGGAAUAUGAGGAUAAUUUUAUAAAUUUUUAAAUACAUCCUCGUUUCACCGAGAAUUACACUAGUAAAUUAACUGAAUAUUUAAUAAAAAAUUUUAAUAAUUUUAUUUUAAAAUUAUAAUGGACAUUUUAAUUGGAGUUUAUAAUUAUAAAAAUCUAAUAGUUAAUAUCAUUAAAAUUUAAAAACUCUAUAAUAAUUUUUUAAAAAAAUUUAUAAAAAUUUAAUUAAAAUAAUUUUUACAUAUUUUUAAGCCCAUAUGUAUAGAUAUAUUAAAUAUGUGAUUUUCUUCACAUUACUAAAUUAGGAGAUUAUUUAAUUAAUGAUUUAAAAUUAACAUCAAAAUAAAAAAUAUUUGUUCAUCUUAAAUUAAGCUUUCCAAAAUAAAAAAUCACUAACAAUAUAAAAUUUAGCAUUAUCUAUAAGAUCAAUAAUUAGCAUUGGACUUUUUUCAUUAAUUUUAUUUCUCACGAAACAUUCAAUAAUUUCUAGAAUUUAGAUAAAAUUAAAUUUACAAUUUUAUAGCUUUAAAAAUAAUUUAAUAAUGUCAACCUUAUUAUCUUUUACAUAACAAUGAAAUUAAAAGAAUCUAAUGUAUUAACUGCCAAUUUAGCUAAUGAAGGAAAAUAUUUUCUAAAAUCUGAAUUAGUAUAACUAAAUAAAUUAAUAAUAAAUAUACUAUAUGAUUUAACAAAAAUUUUAAUAAAGAAAAAUAUUAUGAAAAAUAUAUGAAAAGACAAAAGAGUAAAAAUAAGUUGUGGUUUUGACCACAAGUUAACUGGUGUCUCCUUUAACAUGAGGCUGGGCCUUGGUUAGAGACAAGCUUUGGGCUUUUGGGGGCGAUAAUGUAAAUACACUAAUUAUCAAACAUCAAACUAGAAAUAGUUCUGCAGGCUAGUGAAUACGGAGGUUUACUCUUCCAAGUACAUUUCCUAAAUUUACUUUAUAAUUAAUAAUUAUUAUUAUUAUCCUUCAUACUAAUUAUUUAAUUAUAUUUAAAAUAUUAUUAUAUUUUAUACAGUAAAAUUAAAAAUAUAAAUUAAAUUAAAAUAUAAUAUUUAUAUUUUAAUGGAGACCGUUAUUUUUAUUUUAAUAUAGACUUUGAUAUUUAUUUUUUUUGAUCUUUUUGGAAUUGAAAUCUUAUCACAAAGUUAUUAAAAAUUAAAACAGUUAAAUAAAAAAUACAGGAUAAAAGGUGAUACGUGAAGGGAAAACGCAUGGUAACAGUGACGGUAGCGGUGAAAAAAGAUGAAAGUAAUUGAUCAAAUCGAAAAAGAGACUGUGAAUACGUGGUGGAAAAAGAGAAACAUGUUGAGAAGGAGGAGAGGUUAUAUGGUGAUAUCAGAUGUGGUAAACUGUUGCGGGAGUUGGGGUGGCAGUGGAUCUGACUGCUUUGCGAGGGAGGUUGGUUUGGUUUUCUAACAUAAAUUUGAGGUGACUUCUGGACGGAAAUAGUGCAUCAAUUUUGACGGUCUGUUUUUGGAAAUGUGACAUUUUAAUUUUUUUAUAAAACAUUGUAAAAACACAUUUCUCAAGAAAAAAUAUUUUUUAUUAUUUAAUUAUAAUUUUAAAAAUUAAAUAAAGUUAAUAAAAUUUUAAAUUACAGGAUUUUAAAUUAAAAAACAUUCAAAAAAAAUAUUUUUUAAAGAAAUUAAUUUUAUUUUGUAAAAAAUAUUUUUAUAUAUAAUCAUUAUUUUGUUUAAAAUAAUUAUGAAAUUUAUAAUUAAGUCGGGUAUUUCAGCUACUCAAAGAAGAUAGAUUUAAAUAAUUAUAAUCGAAUUUGAUACGAAUUUUAAAAAAUAAAAUCGUGAUGAAUUUGAAUCGGGUUUAGAUUUUAUUAUAAGAUAUUUAUCGCUAAACUCGUUUAUAUUUAUAAUUAAUUUAAUAUAAAAAUAUAUAUUUUAGAAUAAUAUUUAUAAAUUAAUUAUAUGUUUUUAUUUAAAAUUAAAAUAAAAUAUUUUUUUAAAAUAUUAAAUUUUUAAAUGAAAAUUAUUAAUAAAAAAUAUUUUUUAUAUAAAUUAUUAAUUAAAAUAUAAGAGACUAAACGGUAUUUUAUUUGAGUAAUAAUAAUCGAGUUUGAAAUGAGUUCAGAUAAUUUAUAUUAAUUUUUAAUUGAAUUUUAGAUAAUUUCAAGUAUUGUUAAUAUAAAUAGGAUUCUAAUAUAAAUGUAAAUUUUGGAUAUUUUAAUUUUCAAAGAUUUUCAAUUCAUUUGGAAAUCAAUUUUAAUUUGGAGUGGAAACGAUUCCACUUUUAAAAAUUUAGAGUUCAAUUUUGAAAUCAUUUCGGUAUAGUCGACUAUUUUUAAAACUAUAAUAAUAUAGUUAUUUGAUAGGUAAAAUGCUUUUUAUAAAUUUUUUGAUUCAAGGAAACUCCUAAUUAAGCAGUAAGAUUAUAUUAAACCUUAUCAUUAAGUACCGCUACACUUUCCGUUAUAUGGAUGAGAUUUUUCUCCUUAAAACGAGUCAAAGGAAAGGGAAUUGUAGAAAAAGGAGGCAAAAGGGCUGCCGGGAUUUUUAAUCUCUAAAAUUUAACGUAAUUAAUACUUCUAUCCCUUUAUUUGAACGAUUCAAUAUUUUAGUCACUCAUUUUCUCUUUUAUUCAAAUUCGUAUUCCUUCCCUUUAAAUUCGUAAUCCUUCCGUCCAAAAUAGUCAUUUGGUCAAAGAGUCUAAGGUGAAGGUGAGAUUUAUUUCCAAAAAUGCUCUUAAUGAAUUUGUUAAAACCCCUCUCAACCUGAAAUCCCUCUAUUUUGCUUCUCCCUCAUAUCUUAUCUGUUUCUUUUCGGCUUUCAUUGAUUUUCCUUUUUUUUUUUCUCUCUUUUCCAUCUUUAUUCUCACUCAUAUCUUUCUACUUUCUCAUAUUUUUGGUCUCCCUCAUAUAUUCUCUAUUUUCUUUCGGUUAUUGUUAAUUCUCCUUUUUUUUUUUUCUCAUUUCCAUCUUUCUUCUCUCUCAUAUCUUUUUUCUCCCUCAUAUCUUCUCUAUUUUCUUUCGGCCAUUAUUGUGAAUCAUCACUGAGGAAGAAUAAUAUUUGUAUCAAAUGGGUCUGCCGGGUACUAGAAUGAAAGAUUGAAAAAUGUGAACUGUAGAUGUGGCAAAGGGGUUGGGAUAAUGAUUUCUGAGUCAGCCGAAAACCCUAAUAAGCUAUAUUAUUUUUGCAGAGAUAAUGUGUGUGGAACUUUUCGUGGGUAGUGUGAACCUGUGAAUCAAAGUUCAACUCCAUCAAGUGGCAGCAUUAACGUGUAUGAGGGAUGAAAAAUUGAAAAAAGAACACCUAUAGAAUAAAUGCUAGAGAAGGUCAUAGAAGAUAUUGCAAAAAUGAAAAAUGAUUUGAGAAGAUGAAGGAAGAACAAAGAGCUACUAGGGAUGAGAUUGCAAAUAUUAUGGGGAUUAUGUGCCAAUUGAGAAUAAUUUAUAUUGUUUUGAUUUUUGUUGUAGUUGGAGUAGCAAUGAAAGUGAUUUAAAAUAACAUAUACCAUGAAUUUAGAUAAUGGAAAUUACUUCUUUUGCUGUGAAUAUAUAUUUUGAAUUUACAGUAAUACGAGGGACUAAAGUGUUUGAAUAUUUAAUUUUAUGAGGAUAUAAGUAUUUAAAAAUUGAGUAUAUGAGGACUAAAGUGUCUGCAAAUUUAAAAAUAUAAGGAUUACAGUAUUUGAAUAUUUAAAUGUAUGGGGACUAUAGUGUUGUUAACUUUUAGUUAAUUAAGUGACAGUAUCCUUCACAAAUAUAUUAUUUUGUUACAAAGUACUUUAUCUCCAUUCAUACAUAAAAAUGUUAUAAAAAAGUAGUUAACAAGAAAUGUAAAUGCAUACACAGUAUGUGAAAAAAACUGCAUAUUCAUUCAUAUAAAAGUUUCAUCACUACAACAUUAGCCUUAUCAUUCUACUGAUAAAGUCUAUUACAUUGCGAAUAAAAUUUUAUCCAUUAUAUCACAAAAUAUAUCUAAAAAACUAUCUAAAUUCUCCAAAACUGUCUAAAAUACCUUUACAAUAUCUGAAAAUAACCAGUAUAUAUUCAAAAUAGCUGCACAUCAAAAUAUCUCAAGAAGAUCAAUAUAUGUUCAAAACCUGCAAAUGAAAUCUAUAAAAAAAAUAAAUAAAUAAACAUCAAAAGCUGCAAACUAAUUAUGUAAAAAAAAAAUACAAUUUCAUCCAAUUUGGACUAAAUUAAAACUUACCAAAUCUGUCCAAAAAAAUAUGUUGUGCAUCUAAUAUAUCCAACAAAAAACUCACAACCUGCAUACCUAUUCACAAAAAAUAUCACAACAUGCAAAAAUAAAUCUGCCCAAAAAAUAUAAGUUUCAAAAUGUCUUUAAUUUUUCAAAAUGCAUCUUAAUUUGCUGAUGCUUGUCUAUGGAGGUCCAUUGGUUGAGUAGAAUUAAUAUCCACCGUCUCUUGUUCAGUUUGUUCUAUUUCAAAAUGACUUCGCCUGUGACUACUGGUGGACUACAAUCGAAAUUAGUAGAAAUAGUCAAAUAAAUUGAAAUAGUAAAUGGACAUAUAUGUAAAUGAAAAUAGUAAUUAGAAAGAUAUUCUUACCCUACUAGGUGUAACCUAACAGGUUCUUUUGUUAUCUCCUACUUGUGAUACCUUUUGCAAACCACUGUGGUAUUCCUUGUCCUCUUUGUAGCUGGACCUGCCUCACCAUCUUCUCUCCUUCUUAUCUUUUUUGGUCUACCUGGUUGCCCUUUCAAAAGAGGAGGCUGUAUUAGUGGGUGAUCCUCAUGUGGUUGUAAAUUCCUUUGUGGUAUGAGAUAUAUUGCAUGUUGAUAUACCUUAUUGUAUAUAGAAAUGGUGAAACAUUCAUCACAAAGGUUUUCAAUCUCAGCUCUCUUGUAUCUUAUUGAUUUAACAACAUGCUUGCAUGGCAUGUCUGAAAUGUCCCACCAACCACAUAAACAAGUUAUCCUUUCAAGUGAAAAAUGCAAACCUACAAGGACAUUCAAAUUUAUCAUUUCUUCCAGGAAUUAACUUCACAUAUCUCAUUUGGUUUAUAAUUUGCCUCAAAGUCUUCUGAGUCAUUUGGGUCACUUUACCUUGCCAAGUUGUAGCCCUCUCAUAUCUUUCAUGGAAUCUAAGCAUACAUUUCUGUCUUACCUUCUCAAUAAUCUGAAUGAUUGGCAAACCCUUCAGAUUUUCAAUUCAGCGGUUAAAUGAUUCAGUGAAAUUAUUAGUAUCGUUGUCACACUUUGUUGUUAUCCAAAAUGCAUGUCUUGACCAAUAUGAAAGUGAUAUCUUCAGCAACCAAUCAUAAGGCUUAUGCUCCUUCUUAGGUUUCAUAUUGUAAAACCCCCUUUGACUGCAUAGUCCCUAAGUGCAUCUCUAACUGCUUGGAUAUUAUAAAAAACUUGACCAAUUUUAAAUUGUAUUUGUUCCACUUUUUAACAAGAAAAUGGAUCUGAGUAUAAUCCUUUUAAAGGAUAUUUUCAUUUUCUCUGACAACACUGAUCAUUUACAAUUUCAGCUUCUUCAUCAAUACUGUCUUCAUCUCCACUAUGAAAAACAGAGAAAGGGAUAGAAUCACUUUCACCCAUCAUUUCAUCCUCCAUCUCAUCCUCUUUAUACAAUUCAUCAUUAUUAUUGUCUUCACUAUCAGCACCCACAGAAUCAACAUCCACAGAAUCUGCACCCACAGAAUCUGUACUAUCCUCAGUUUCUUCUACAUUUUCCUCCUCUCCUUCUAUGUUUUCCUCACCUUCUUCAUUUUUCCAACCUUCUACAUUUUCCUCCUUUCCUUCUUUGUUUUCCUCCUCUACUUCUAUAUUUUCCUCACCUUCUACAUUUUCCUCACCUUCUAUAUUUUCUCCACCUUUUACAUUUUCUUCAUCUUUUACAUUUUCUUCAUCUUCACUAUUUCUAGUACUAGGACCCUCAAUAUUAAUUUCAUGAAACACACCCUAACUGCCCCUAACAGAACCACUUUCCUUCUCAUAAUUCCUAACUGGUACAAUUUCAACAGCAUCAACUUCAUGCUCAAUAUCAAUAUAACAUAUAUUUUUCCCUUUCCUAUUUCCUCUAGGUAUUUCUACAUUUAAUGCUACUGCCUUAGUUGUAACAACUAAGGGUAUUUCUUAGUUUUCCAUGUAAAGUUCAAAUAUAAGCAUUAUGUCAACAUCAUUCUUUAUUGUGAAACCAUUACCGGCCUUAAUCUCUAUAAAAUCACUCUUUAAAUUUAAUAACUUAUAUAUGUCGGUCAAUAGUUUGAUGUAGGAGUACCUGUCGGCAAGCAAAUUGUUCAUUCUCUGCCCUUCAUAUUUGAUUAACAAAUUAUAACUCUCAGAUUUAUCCAUUGCUAUCUGUGAAAAUAAAAAAAGAAAUUACACAAUUAAUUUUCAAAUCAUUAAACCCCUAAUCUUAACAGUAAACCCUAGAAAAAUCAAUAAAUAAAAAAUUAUUUAUUGUAACUCAAAAAAUCUAAACAGUAAAACAAUGAAUUUGUCUUCAUCGUAAAAUAAAAGGGAUUUUCGUACCUUUGAAGUGGACCCCGAUUUUAUUUUCUUCUGCAUAUAUGAACACUGACUCCACCUUUGGAAUAUAGUGGGUUUAGUGUUUCUCGAGAAGAUUAAGGAAAUGAGAGACAAUGGAACUAUAGAGAGAGAGGAGUUUUGAUAGAGACAGAGAGAGCACGAGAGAGAGGGACAAGGCUUCGACAAAGACAGAGAGAGCGCGAGAGAGAGGGACAAAGCUGAGAGAGAGAGACAAAGCUGAGAGAGAGAAGUUUAGACAAAGACAGAGAGAGCGCGAGAGAGAGGGAGAAGAAAGAGGGAUAGAGUUUCGUGAUUUUGAAAUAGAGGAACUCUUAAUGAGGGUCAAGAAAGAGGAAUAGAGUUUCGUGAUUUUGAAAUAGAGGGACUUUUAAUGAGGGUCAAUUUUGUCAAUUCACGUGUUCUAAAUGACUAUUUUGGAUGGAAGGAUUACGAAUUUGGACGGACUACGAAUUUGAACGGAAGAGAAAGCGAGGGACUUAAGUGUUGGAUUGUCAAAAUAAAGAGAUAAAAGUGUUAAUUACAUUAAAUUUCAGGGACUAAAAAAUAUCUUUCCUUUUUUUUUUAUAUAAAUUUCAUUAAUACAGUGCUUCAUUUGACUUGAAAUAAAAAAUUAAAAAAAUUAUUAUUGUCCUUCUAUUAAAAAUAAUUAAUUUCUUCUUUUAAUUUUGUGUGAAAUGUUUGAAAUAGGCUUUGAUUUUCUUCUAAUUUGCAAUGUUCACUUCCUCCGACCCAUUACAAUUGAUGUUCUAAAAUCCAGAGAAUAGGAUUUACAGUGCGAUUGUAAAUUUAGAUAGAGGGAGGUGUUCCCCUUCUUUUAUUCAUUUCCUUUUAUUUACUAGUGAUGUCUAACGGCCUCUUUGUGCCACCUGUGUUUAUCACGCGGAUUCGUAUGUAUAGAAAUGUCAGAGUUUCUCUCCAUACUAAGCGGUCAUUUAAUUCCCCUGACACGCAUGCAGGCAGAGCUGCGAAGUGCCUGGGCCUGCUAUCUUUCACCACGUCACAUUACCGGGCUGGAUUUUUUCUCAUCGGACCUGGACUCAUGGACGACCCAUGUCCCGCGCACUUGGACGGGAACUUAAAUUACUAAACCGGGCGACUGAGGAAGGCUUUAGGAAUUUUGGACCAAGGCUGUUUUCUUGGGUCCGAUCUUGUAACACUAUUAUACUAAUUUCAAUAUGAUUCCCAUCAUUCUCAUUUUCAGAAGAUUUUUAAAAUUAACAAAGUUCUCCAAAUAAUCAACAAAUGAAAUUACAUAGUGCCACUAAUUUAUGCAAUCGAUAGAAGUGAUAAUAAUUAAAAUCUCCAUAAUGAUGAGAAUCAAAUGAGUUGAUAAAAAAAUAUUCUGAAGGAAACAGGCAAACCUCCAUUAUAUAUAAUAGCCUGAUACAAAGUAUAAUUGGUACCAAAAUAUUGAUUUUGAGAAGUUCUUACAAAAAAAAAAAUCGUCUUUGGCUGAGAGUAAUAAUCAGAGUCCCAAUUUGUCGCAGAGAUAACUGGUGGCGUGCGCUAGUGGAGGCGUUCAAGUUGAACGCGAGGGAGGAUUACUCCAAGGACGUUGUGUGUGAGACAUCGCUGCUGUAAAUUAUUGCUAUUGAUUAUCGGUGGUUGCUGAUCACCGAUGGUCAGAGGAGAGCUUUCAUCAUUGACGCUGCAAAUCGCGAGUAACAUUCUCACCAACGAUGCAAAUCGCAAGCAACAUUCUCAUCAACGACGCAAAUUGCAAGCAGAAGACCCAUGGAAAGUUCGUCCAUUACUCAGCCAAGGAAAGAUGGGUGCUAGAAGAGAAGAUGAUAGAAGAUAAGGAAAUGAAAGAGACGAAUAGAAAGAGAAAAAGGGAAAAGAUAUGAUUUUGGUAAAGGAAUAUGAGGAUAAUUUUAUAAAUUUUUU